GAUGAACGCUGGCGGCGUGCUUUAUACAUGCAAGUCGAGUGGGUUUAGACCCACGGCAAACGGGUGAGUAACACGUAGGUACUUUCCUUGUCACAGGAAUAACCCUCUGAAAGGAGGGCUAAUACCUGAUGUGAUCGCAAGAUUAAAGGGUAUCAGCAAGGAUUACCGGACAAGAAGAGGCCUGCGGCCUAUCAGCUAGUUGGCGGGGUAAAUGCCCACCAAGGCUAUGACGGGUAGCUGGUCCUAUGAGGAUGAUCAGUAACAUGGGCACUGAGACACGGGCCGAACUCCUACGGGAGGCAGCAGUAGGGAAUUUUGCGCAAGGGGCGAAAGCCUGACGCAGCGACGCCGCGUGCGGGAGGAAGGCCUUCGGGUCGUAAACCGCUUUUAUAAGGGACGAACUUUGACGGUACCUUAUGAAUAAGAGGUUGCUAACUCUGUG
rnacentral:rRNA from 1 species